ACAAGGUGACCAGAGGGUACCCAGACCGUACCCCUAGUAGGAGCCAAUAGCGAAUGAGAGAAGGGGCGCGCGGGGAAACAGACCCGAGUGGCCUCUGCUCCCAAAGUUACCGUGUUCCAAGGCUGGCCUCAGUUACCCAUCUGAAAAAUGGGUGGUUUCUCAAGCCAAAACAGAUCCAACCUAGAGGGUCAGCGUUUUCGAGUUUUUAACUGAAAGCACUCUGGAUUUCAAGUCCUGAGCAAGGACCAUAAGUGUGUUGCAGCA